CCUACGGGUGGCAGCAGUGAGGAAUAUUGGUCAAUGGGCUUACGCCUGAACCAGCCAAGUCGCGUGAGGGAAGACUGCCCUAUGGGUUGUAAACCUCUUUUGUCAGGGAGCAACGCCGGCUACGUGUAGCCGGACUGAGAGUACCUGAAGAAAAAGCAUCGGCUAACUCCGUGCCAGCAGCCGCGGUAAUACGGAGGAUGCGAGCGUUAUCCGGAUUUAUUGGGUUUAAAGGGUGCGUAGGCGGAAUGCCAAGUCAGCGGUAAAAUCGCGGGGCUCAACCUCGCUCCGCCGUUGAAACUGGCGAACUAGAGUGCGGGAGGGGUAAGCGGAAUUCCUAGUGUAGCGGUGAAAUGCGUAGAUAUUAGGAGGAACACCGGGGGCGAAGGCGGCUUACUGGACCGUAACUGACGUUGAGGCUCGAAAGCGUGGGGAGCAAACAGGAUUAGAUACCCUGGUAGUC
rnacentral:rRNA from 1 species